rnacentral:rRNA from 1 species
GACAGAGGGGGCAAGCGUUGUCCGGAGUUACUGGGCGUAAAGCGCACGCAGGCGGCACGGUACGUGAGGUGUGAAAGCGGGCGGCUUAACCGCCCGAGGCCAUCUCCUACGGCCGAGCUCGAGCCGUUCAGAGGUCCCUCGAAUUGCCGGUGUAGUGGUGAAAUGCGUAGAGAUCGGCGGGAAGACCCACGGGGAAGCCAGGGGACUGGGAACGUGCUGACGCUCAGGUGCGAGAGCGUGGGGAGCGAACCGG